AUUGAACGCUGGCGGCAUGCCUUACACAUGCAAGUCGAACGGCAGCACGGGUGCUUGCACCUGGUGGCGAGUGGCGAACGGGUGAGUAAUAUAUCGGAACGUACCUUAUUGUGGGGGAUAACGCAGCGAAAGCUGUGCUAAUACCGCAUAAUCCCUAAGGGGGAAAGCGGGGGACCGUGAGGCCUCGCGCAAUUAGAGCGGCCGAUACCUGAUUAGCUAGUUGGUGAGGUAAAGGCUCACCAAGGCAACGAUAAGUAGCUGGUCUGAGAGGACGAUAAGCCACACGGGACUGAGACACGGCCCAGACUCCUACGGGAGGCAGCAGUGGGGAAUUUUGGACAAUGGGGGCAACCCUGAUCCAGCAAUGCCGCGUGAGUGAAGAAGGCCUUCGGGUUGUAAAGCUCUUUUGUCAGGGAAGAAACAGCAGCUCUAACAUAGUUUGCGAAUGACGGUACCUGAAGAAUAAGCACCGGCUAACUACGUGCCAGCAGCCGCGGUAA
rnacentral:rRNA from 1 species